GACGAACGCUGGCGGCGUGCUUAACACAUGCAAGUCGAACGGAAAGGCCCUGCUUUUGUGGGGUGCUCGAGUGGCGAACGGGUGAGUAACACGUGAGUAACCUGCCCUUGACUUUGGGAUAACUUCAGGAAACUGGGGCUAAUACCGGAUAGGAGCUCCUGCUGCAUGGUGGGGGUUGGAAAGUUUCGGCGGUUGGGGAUGGACUCGCGGCUUAUCAGCUUGUUGGUGGGGUAGUGGCUUACCAAGGCUUUGACGGGUAGCCGGCCUGAGCGGGUGACCGGCCACGUUGGGCCUGAGAUACGGCCCAGACUCCUACGGGAGGCAGCAGUGGGGAAUAUUGCACAAUGGGCGGAAGCCUGAUGCAGCAACGCCGCGUGCGGGAUGACGGCCUUCGGGUUGUAAACCGCUUUCGCCUGUGACGAAGCGUGAGUGACGGUAAUGGGUAAAGAAGCACCGGCUAACUACGUG
rnacentral:rRNA from 1 species